GGUGAACGCUGGCGGCAGGCUUAACACAUGCAAGUCGAGCGGAGAUGAGGUGCUUGCACCUUAUCUUAGCGGCGGACGGGUGAGUAAUGCUUAGGAAUCUGCCUAUUAGUGGGGGACAACAUUCCGAAAGGAAUGCUAAUACCGCAUACGUCCUACGGGAGAAAGCAGGGGAUCUUCGGACCUUGCGCUAAUAGAUGAGCCUAAGUCGGAUUAGCUAGUUGGUGGGGUAAAGGCCUACCAAGGCGACGAUCUGUAGCGGGUCUGAGAGGAUGAUCGGCCACACGGGGACUGAGACACGGGCCAGACUCCUACGGGAGGCAGCCGUGGUGAAUAUUGGACAAUGGGGGGAACCCUGAUCCAGCCAUGCCGCGUGUGUGAAGAAGGCCUUAUGGUUGUAAAGCACUUUAAGCGAGGAGGAGGCUACUGAGACUAAUACUCUUGGAUAGUGGACGUUACUCGCAGAAUAAGCACCGGCUAACUCUGUGCCAGCCGCCGCAGUAACAC
rnacentral:rRNA from 1 species